UGCAAAGCUGAAACUUAAAGGAAUUGACGGAAUCGCACCACCAGGAGUGGAGCCUGCGGCUUAAUUUGACUCAACACGGGAAAACUCACCCGGCCCGGACACUGUAAGGAUUGACAGACUGAGAGCUCUUUCUUGAUUCGGUGGUUGGUGGUGCAUGGCCGUUCUUAGUUGGUGGAGCGAUUUGUCUGGUUUAUUCCGAUAACGAGCGAGACGCACCCCUACUUAAUACACCGCGAAUAAUUUCGUUCGCAGGUGUUCUUAGAGGAAUUGGCGGUAUCGAGCCGCACGAAAGUGCGCAAUAACAGGUCUGUGAUGCCCUUAGAUGUUCGGGGCUGCACGCGUGCUACACUGGAGUCUGCAACGUGUUCCAUGGCCGAAGGGUCACUGGUAAACCGUUGAAAAGAUUCCGUGAUCGGGAUAGGGAAUUGCAAUUAUUUCCCUUGAACGAGGAAUUCCUAGUAAGUGUGAGUCAUCAUCUCGCUCUUAAUACGUCCCUGCGAUUUGUACACACCGCCCGUCGCUACCCGGGACUGAACCGUUUCGAGAAAUCCAGGGAAUCGUUCGCGGGACUUGUUCCUUGCGAGUGGUGAACUGGCUUGAUCGCGACGGUUUGAACCGGGUAAAAGUCGUAACAAGGUACCGGUAGGUGAACCUGCCGGUGGAUCAAUACUGUAAACGCCUCGCGUCACAGUGUGUGUGCUACGACACAGCUAUAAGCAGCUAGAAAGGCCCGACCGCUACUGUCGCGGCAACGGAAACCGUUGGUGUCUACGCCUUGCGGAGAAUACUCGCCAACCGUCGAGUUGAUACUCUCAUGAGGCCUGGCCUUGUUCGUCGNCGACGACAGGGAAGAGUUAAUGACCGUCCGACGAUCGCGUGGUGCCAACGAAAC
rnacentral:rRNA from 1 species